rnacentral:lncRNA from 1 species
UUGAUAAUUCUGAGAGAGAGAGAGACACUUGUACUAGGUUGGACGGUGAGCUAGCUCCGGCGAACUCUCACACCAACAGUGGUGAACCUGACGUGAACCGAACACACGACAGCCGGAGAGAGAAGGAUGACGAGGAGCGAAUACCAAGUAGGGGAGUGCUCAAAGCGACCCGAGCGGGCAGCGGAGGAGUACCAGCCGGCGCGACACCACUCCCGCGACCGGUAUUCGGAGGAGGUAAGGGCCAACGAGGAAUGGGACGGCGAGGAGGAUAGGCUGCGCAUGGAGCUCGAGGAGAUCAGGUACGGGUGGGAGUCACCCAGAAGGCGCCGGCGCAAAGAACCGGCAUCCCCACCCAAGGUCAGGAGAACGCGGUCCCGGUCGCGGUCCCGGGAGAGAAGGGAAAAGGAGCACGAGAGGCUCCGGCGAAGGGAGCGCGCGGAGGAGAAAGAGCGCGCGGAAAAAGAGAGCAAGCGGGAGAGGAUGCAGCUCGUGGAACUGAUAUCCACCCUACAGGAGAGCCAGCGUCAGCUACAAGAGCAGGUGCACCAGCUUACGGUGACCCCACACACCCUGGAGUCGGACGGGGGCGGAGGAGGGGAUCCCAUGUACGGGCCGCCCGCCCCCCCGGACGGGAGACCCGGGAGUGACGCCCCACCCGUGGAGGCCCCGCGAACAAUUGUGGCAACGACGCCGGGAGGGGGCAGCGGAGAGGCCCUAGCGCAGCACCUGCUGGACGAGGAGUACCCGCCAGGCUGGAGAGCCCCGAAGAUCCCUUAUUACAAGGGCGACACAGACCCAGAGGACCACCUGCACUCUUUCAAGACCAACAUGGAGGACAGGACGAACAGGAAGGACAUCUGGUGUCGAAUGUUCCGAAGGGCCCUGACGGGCGACGCAAUAGCCUGGUACAGGACGCUGCCGACAGGGUCCGUGCACACCUACGAAGGCUUAGUGGUGGUAUUCCGGGCGGCUUUCGCACACCGUCGAAGAAGGCCGAAAAUCAAGGCCGCCCUCAGUACCGUCAUACAGGGAGAAUCAGAGAGCACGCGCACUUACAUGGACUGGUUCACGAGCGAGGUGCAGAAGAUUGAGGGGAUCUCAGAGGAGGUGGUGCUGUACGCCCUAACGAACAGCCUCCGGCCCACUUUCUUCGCGGGAGACUUAGUGAGGAAGCCGCCGAAAACCUUCGCCGAGGCCAUGGAGAGAUCCCACGGAGAGAGCAACGUGGAGGAUUACCUAGGCGCGAAGAUCCAGGAGUACAGGCGGCAGCAGAGGGG